UUCAAAUGAUGAAAACAAAGCAAUUGAUUUCCAUGAUGAAUAUUAUUCAACGAGCUUUUUAACACUGAUUUAU